AAAAGAGUAAGCUGUAUAGUUGCAUCUGGAAUUUACCCCAACGGAUCGGGUGUUGAAGGCUUGGUCUUGUGGUGCUGUUGGAGGACUGUGGAAACUUGGGUGGUGGGACUGAGUUCCAAGAAGCAGAUCACCGGGGUGUGUCCUUAAAGGGUAUGUCCUCCCCUACAUCUUCCCCUCCCUCUCGCUACUUCCUUUUCACCACGAGGUGAGCAGGUGUUCUUCACCACCUGCCUUACCACAAACCCACAGUGGUGGAACCAAUCACUCGUAGCCCAAAUCUCUGAAAUAGUGAGCCAAAAUAAACCUUUCCUCCUUUAAGUUAUUUAUUCCAGAUAUUUUAUCAGAGAAAUGGAAAUCUAACACAUGAGCUCUUUGGGAUCUGUUCAUAUGAAGACAUGAAGCUUAUCAUAUCCAGGUUACUCUCAUGACCUUAUUUAAUCAUAAUGACUUCCUUAAAGUCUCUACUUCUAAAUACAGUCACACCAGGGAUUAGGACCUCAAUAUAUGAUUGUUAGGGACACAGUUCAGUCCAGAGCAGAAUGCCCUAUCGGUAGAGAAGCUUAAUAUUUUGUGUUGUUUCUAUAUAAUAGUAUAGUAGUAUUUGUGUUUUGCGUGCUCUUUUGCUAUUAUUACUAACAGGUAGUUUUAAUGUAUCUGAGUUUUGGAGCCUUUUAAUCUUGGUUUAUGUACAAUCAUUUUAUAAAACCAGACUGGUAUCUAACUGAAAAAGAAAAAUCUUUUGAAAAUGAUGCUUUAUGUUUGAGCUAUCAGUGUGAUCAGUAAUAAAGUUCACAUGUUUUAAACCUUUGAGGGACACACUCUUAGGAUUUUCCAACUGAAUCAGUAUAUUUAACAUGCAUUAAAGUCUAAGAAGAUGAAUAAUAUCAUUUGAGCAUUUCCAGUCCAUUAUGCUUUUGUGAAUCAGCAUCCAAAGGAAAGCUAGUGAUCCAAGAUUAUCAUAUUCAUGGUUAUUUUUUCGAGUUCUCUAAUAUGUAGAGAAUUUUUCCUCCUCAGUGUAAUACAGGGCAAGUCCAACAAACAUCUUGAUGAUAUGUUGAUGUAUUUGAAUUUCAUGUCAAUGAAGUAAUUAGAUAAAUACACAGAUAUGAGACAAAACUGAAUGAAU
rnacentral:lncRNA from 1 species